rnacentral:rRNA from 1 species
UACGUAGGUGGCAAGCGUUGUUCGGAAUUAUUGGGCGUAAAGGGCGCGUAGGCGGCUUGUUAAGUCGGCUGUGAAAGCCCGGGGCUCAACCCCGGAGGGUCAGCCGAUACUGGCAGGCUAGAGUACGGAAGAGGUAGCUGGAAUUCCCGGUGUAGCGGUGAAAUGCGUAGAUAUUGGGAAGAACACCGGUGGCGAAGGCGGCCAUCUGGACCGGAACUGACGCUGAGGCGCGAAAGCCAGGGGAGCGAAUGGG